AACGAACGCUGGCGGCAUGCCUAACACAUGCAAGUCGAACGAGACCUUCGGGUCUAGUGGCGCACGGGUGCGUAACGCGUGGGAACCUGCCCUUAGGUUCGGAAUAACUCCCCGAAAGGGGUGCUAAUACCGGAUAAUGUCUUCGGACCAAUGAUUUAUCGCCUUUGGAUGGGCCCGCGUUGGAUUAGCUAGUUGGUAGGGUAAAAGCCUACCAAGGCGACGAUCCAUAGCUGGUCUGCGAGGAUGAUCAGCCACACUGGGACUGAGACACGGCCCAGACUCCUACGGGAGGCAGCAGUGGGGAAUAUUGGACAAUGGGCGAGAGCCUGAUCCAGCAAUGCCGCGUGAGUGAUGAAGGCCUUAGGGUUGUAAAGCUCUUUUACCCGGGAUGAUAAUGACAGUACCGGGAGAAUAAGCUCCGGCAAACUCCGU
rnacentral:rRNA from 1 species